UUACCAUCUUAAUAACGUUCAUUACUGUGGUUCCAUAUGCCAUAAGAUUCCGAGGGACUGUUGCCCUUCCGACCCUUAUAUAAGAUGAGAGAAUCCCUCCUGUUAUUAAAUGUUAUUUUUGUAUCAGUGUCCAUAGCUUGCUAUCUCUGCUGUAAAUACCUCCGGUCCUCAUUUUCUCCACACAGUUUUCUCCAAGUACUUGUGAUCUUCCUUCAAAGAUGGUGUCCUUUAAAGGAAUUCUUCUGGACCUAGUGAUUGCCUUUUGAGGAUUAGACUUAUUUUAAGAUGCCUUGGCCAUCUGGACAGAUAGACAUAUAUGCUUUAAUUUUAAAAGCAAGUGACACUGCUGACAGCUCCCGAGACCCUGGAAUCACAAGUCUAAAAGCAAAAGCCUGAUUUGAAGUUUCCCUGCCAAAUUCUGUGCUGCAGUAUUUAAAAGCUGUGACUUCU